rnacentral:rRNA from 1 species
UACAGGGGGGGCAAGCGUUGUUCGGAAUCACUGGGCGUAAAGGGCGCGUAGGCGGCUUUGUAAGUCGGGGGUGAAAGCCUGUGGCUCAACCACAGAAUUGCCUUCGAUACUGCAUGGCUUGAGACCGGAAGAGGUCAGUGGAACUGCGAGUGUAGAGGUGAAACUCGUAGAUAUUCGCAAGAACACCAGUGGCGAAGGCGGCUGACUGGUCCGGUUCUGACGCUGAGGCGCGAAAGCGUGGGGAGCAAACAGG